GCUCUCGUCGUCUAGUCGGUCUAGGAUAUUGGAUUCUCAUUCCAAAGAUCGCGGGUUCGAAUCCCGCCGGGAGUA
rnacentral:tRNA from 1 species